rnacentral:rRNA from 1 species
AGUGAACGCUGGCGGUAGGCCUAACACAUGCAAGUCGAACGGCAGCACAGUAAGAGCUUGCUCUUACGGGUGGCGAGUGGCGGACGGGUGAGGAAUACAUCGGAAUCUACUUUUUCGUGGGGGAUAACGUAGGGAAACUUACGCUAAUACCGCAUACGACCUACGGGUGAAAGCAGGGGAUCUUCGGACCUUGCGCGAUUGAAUGAGCCGAUGUCGGAUUAGCUAGUUGGCGGGGUAAAGGCCCACCAAGGCGACGAUCCGUAGCUGGUCUGAGAGGAUGAUCAGCCACACUGGAACUGAGACACGGUCCAGACUCCUACGGGAGGCAGCAGUGGGGAAUAUUGGACAAUGGGCGCAAGCCCGAUCCAGCCAUACCGCGUGUGUGAAGAAGGCCUUCGGGUUGUAAAGCCCUUUUGUUGGGAAAGAAAAGCAGCAGGUUAAUACCCCGCUGUUCUGACGGUACCCAAAGAAUAAGCACCGGCUAACUUCGUG